GAACUUAAGCAUAUCAAUAAGCGGAGGAAAAGAAACCAACAGGGAUUGCUCAGUAACGGCGAGUGAAGCGGCAACAGCUCAAAUUUGAAAUCUGGCUCUUUUAGAGCCCGAGUUGUAAUUUGUAGAGGAUGCUUCGGCGUCGGCUCCGGUCUAAGUUCCUUGGAACAGGACGUCAUAGAGGGUGAGAAUCCCGUAUGUGAUCGGUUGCCUUUGCCAUGUGAAGCUCCUUCGACGAGUCGAGUUGUUUGGGAAUGCAGCUCUAAAUGGGAGGUAAAUUUCUUCUAAAGCUAAAUACUGGCCAGAGACCGAUAGCGCACAAGUAGAGUGAUCGAAAGAUGAAAAGCACUUUGGAAAGAGAGUCAAAAAGUACGUGAAAUUGUUGAAAGGGAAGCGCUUGCAACCAGACCUGCCUGCAGUUGCUCAUCCGGGCUUUUGCCCGGUGCACUCUUCUGCUGUCAGGCCAGCAUCAGUUCGGGCGGUCGGAUAAAGGCUUCGGGAAUGUAACUCCUCUUGGGGAGUGUUAUAGCCCGUUGCGAAAUGCGGCCAGCCUGGACUGAGGUCCGCGCUUCGGCUAGGAUGCUGGCGUAAUGGUUGUAAGCGGCCCGUCUUGAAACACGGACCAAGGAGUCUAACAUCUGUGCGAGUGUUUGGGUGUUAAACCCGUACGCGUAAUGAAAGUGAACGGAGGCGGGAACCCCUCGGGGUGCACCGUCGACCGAUCCUGAUGUCUUCGGAUGGAUUUGAGUAAGAGCAUAGCUGUUGGGACCCGAAA
rnacentral:rRNA from 1 species